CCCAGGUGAAGUGGUGUAUACCUGUAAUCCCAGCACCUUGGGAGGCUGAGGCAGGAGGAUCACAAGUACAAGUUCAACCUCAGCAACUUGGUGAGAACCUAUCUCAA
rnacentral:sRNA from 1 species